rnacentral:rRNA from 1 species
UUAACAGGAUUAGAUACCCUGGUAGUCCACGCCGUAAACGAUGUCGACUUGGAGGUUGUGCCCUUGAGGCGUGGCUUCCGGAGCUAACGCGUUAAGUCGACCGCCUGGGGAGUACGGCCGCAAGGUUAAAACUCAAAUGAAUUGACGGGGGCCCGCACAAGCGGUGGAGCAUGUGGUUUAAUUCGAUGCAACGCGAAGAACCUUACCUGGUCUUGACAUCCACAGAACUUUCCAGAGAUGGAUUGGUGCCUUCGGGAACUGUGAGACAGGUGCUGCAUGGCUGUCGUCAGCUCGUGUUGUGAAAUGUUGGGUUAAGUCCCGCAACGAGCGCAACCCUUAUCCUUUGUUGCCAGCGGUCCGGCCGGGAACUCAAAGGAGACUGCCAGUGAUAAACUGGAGGAAGGUGGGGAUGACGUA